UACGGAGGAUGCAAGCGUUAUCCGGAAUGAUUGGGCGUAAAGCGUCCGCAGGUGGCUAUGUAAGUCUGCUGUUAAAGAGUGAGGCUCAACCUCAUAAAAGCAGUGGAAACUACAUGGCUAGAGUGCGUUCGGGGCAGAGGGAACUCCUGGUGUAGCGGUGAAAUGCGUAGAGAUCAGGAAGAACACCGGUGGCGAAAGCGCUCUGCUAGGCCGCAACUGACACUGAGGGACGAAAGCUAGGGGAGCGAAUGGG
rnacentral:rRNA from 1 species